GACGAACGCUGGCGGCGUGCCUAAUACAUGCAAGUCGAACGCUUUUUCUUUCACCGGAGCUUGCUCCACCGAAAGAAAAAGAGUGGCGAACGGAUGAGUAACACGUGGGUAACCUGCCCAUCAGAAGGGGAUAACACUUGGAAACAGGUGCUAAUACCGUAUAACACUAUUUUCCGCAUGGAAGAAAGUUGAAAGGCGCUUUUGCGUCACUGAUGGAUGGACCCGCGGUGCAUUAGCUAGUUGGUGAGGUAACGGCUCACCAAGGCAACGAUGCAUAGCCGACCUGGGAGGGUGAUCGGCCACACUGGGACUGAGACACGGCCCAGACUCCUACGGGAGGCAGCAGUAGGGAAUCCUCGGCAAUGGACGAAAGUCUGACCGAGCAACGCCGCGUGAGUGAAGAAGGUUUUCGGAUCGUAAAACUCUGUUGUUAGAGAAGAACAAGGAUGAGAGUAGAACGUUCAUCCCUUGACGGUAUCUAACCAGAAAGCCACGGCUAACUACGUGCCAGCCGCCGCCGUAA
rnacentral:rRNA from 1 species